rnacentral:rRNA from 1 species
UACGUAGGGUGCGAGCGUUAAUCGGAAUUACUGGGCGUAAAGCGUGCGCAGGCGGUUUUGUAAGCCAGAUGCGAAAGCCCCGGGCUUAACCUGGGAAUGGCAUUUGGGACUGCAAGGCUUGAGUGCGGCAGAGGAGACUGGAAUUCCUGGUGUAGCAGUGAAAUGCGUAGAUAUCAGGAGGAAUACCGAUGGCGAAGGCAGGUCUCUGGGCUGACACUGACGCUCAUGCACGAAAGCGUGGGGAGCAAACAGG